UACGUAGGGUGCGAGCGUUAAUCGGAAUUACUGGGCGUAAAGUGUGCACAGGUGGCCGCGCAAGUCGAGUGUGAAAGCCCCGGGCUUAACUUGGGAAUUGCGCUCGAAACUACGUGGCUAGAGUGUGGCAGAGGGAGGUGGAAUUCCACGUGUAGCGGUGAAAUGCGUAGAGAUGUGGAGGAACACCAAUGGCGAAGGCAGCCUCCUGGGCCAACACUGACACUCAUGCACGAAAGCGUGGGGAGCAAACAGG
rnacentral:rRNA from 1 species